rnacentral:rRNA from 1 species
UACGAACUGUGCGAACGUUAUUCGGAAUCACUGGGCUUAAAGGGUGCGUAGGCGGCUGCCUAAGUCAGGUGUGAAAUCUCCCGGCUCAACCGGGAAACUGCGCUUGAUACUGGGCGGCUCGAGUGAGGUAGGGGUGUGUGGAACUUCCGGUGGAGCGGUGAAAUGUGUAGAUAUCGGAAGGAACGCCAGCAGCGAAAGCGGCACACUGGGCCUUUCUGACGCUGAGGCACGAAAGCCAGGGAGCGAACGGG